rnacentral:tRNA from 1 species
GCCGGUGUGGCGGAAUAGGCAGACGCGCUGGAUUCAAAAUCCAGUUCUAGAGAUAGAGUAUCGGUUCGACCCCGAUCACCGGUA